UACGGAGGGAGCUAGCGUUGUUCGGAAUUACUGGGCGUAAAGCGCGCGUAGGCGGCUUUGUAAGUUAGAGGUGAAAGCCCGGAGCUCAACUCCGGAACUGCCAUUAAAACUGCAUCGCUUGAAUCCAGGAGAGGUGAGUGGAAUUCCGAGUGUAGAGGUGAAAUUCGUAGAUAUUCGGAAGAACACCAGUGGCGAAGGCGGCUCACUGGACUGGUAUUGACGCUGAGGUGCGAAAGCGUGGGGAGCAAACAGG
rnacentral:rRNA from 1 species